AUCGGCCGCUCGUUUAAUAACCGCAGCUCGAUGCGUGUAGGGCCGGCAGUCCAGCUCGUUGUGUUUGGCUUCAAAUGAGCUCCAGAUCGGCCGCUCGUUUAAUAACCGCAGCUCGAAAUGAGCUCGAGAUCUAUCGCUCGUUUAAUAAACGAGUCGAAUCCAAGCUGGAGUCAGCUCACUCAUGUUCGGCUCGGUAUAGCUCAAAUAUAUAUACAUAUAUUAUAAAUUUUUACCAGUUGAGCUCCUGGGCUUUUUAAAAGUAUAAGAGCAUUUGUGCUUAUGAUUUUUUAAGCCAUAGGAUCGUCUCAAGAUCCGU
rnacentral:lncRNA from 1 species